rnacentral:tRNA from 1 species
GCCUGGGUGGCUCAGCUGGUUGAGUGUCUGACUUAUGAUUUCAGCUCAGAUCAUGAUCUCACAGUUCAUGGGUUCGAGCCCCAUGUUGGGCU